rnacentral:lncRNA from 1 species
UCAACUUUCUAAUUCUAAAUGAGGCCACUUCCCAUCUAUUCAAUUGCAUGAGUCCCCUUGCUUGCCUUGGGAGUUCUUCCUACCUACUGAAAAUAAGUUUAUGUGGCUUACAGCUGCCAAUUGGUCUAUUACUGUCUGUAGUUGGUCCCAUUGAGAGAACUUUAUUUAUAACUCAUUGGGCAAAAUAAAUAUUAUCCGAUAGUUCAAAAUUUUAAUAUGCAUUUUAUAGCUCAAAAGUAAUUUUAUUGGCUAGCCACCAAACUAAAUACCUGCAUCACUUGCCUUCGAAGCUCUUCAUCAAUGGCCCUAAGUUUGUCCCUAGCCUACAACUUUAAUGGGAAACCCUUUUCUCCAACAAAUUCUAGCUCCAGUUUGUCAGCUUACAAGAAGCAGCUAGCAAAUCUUUUAUUUUCUUUUGAGAAAAGUAACUUUUCACAACGCCAAUCUUACUUUCUCAAUUUUUAAUUAAUCAUAAUUUAGACUUUCCUCUCUUUUUUUUGUAGAAAUGUUGGCGGCAGAGUCGGGGCCUAUUUAUCGUUAGUGGUCAGAUUACGGCGAAAGCAAUAUUCAAGGUAUCCCAUAAUCUCCAUCAUAACAAGUUCAUAGUAAUAACAGUACAUAAAUAAAUACAGGUUUACUGGAGAAAUAGCGGCCCGAAAUGGUUUAGUCAGAAAUUUUCACAAUCGCCGGAAAAGCUAUAUACUGGCCAGAUCUGUCGAAAUUCAAAUUAGCAAGCAAACCAUCUUUCAUAUCUAGAUUUUUAUAAUAUCAAAAUUCCCAAAACAGUAAAUAAAACGAGAAGUAAGAGUCGCCGGAUUUGAUUAGGGUCGCCGAUGUUUGAGUUUUCGUCCAGUCUAAAACCAACGAGAUAGAGCAGAACGGGUUAGACUGACUGGGUUUUGAUUUAAUUUCAUGAUAAAGUUCGGUUCUUCCAUCCAAGAUAAAGUGUCCCUUUUUAUGUUGUUAUAAAGGUGCAAGUCGUUGAGUUUUUACUUGGGUCCAAUCCGAUCGCUCUCCUUCUCUCCCUCUUUCUAUUUAUUUACCUUUUUAUGUUUUUGAAUACACUAAUAGAAAAUCAUUCUUUAUUGUGUUAUUUUGUCUAAUGUAGAGGUAGACCAUUAUUAGAUAGUAUUAGACUGGAGAGCAUUUUUUUUUAAUAUUGGAAAGAAUAUCUGUCACUAUACAAAAUACAUAUAGAAUCCGUCACUAUACAAAAUACAUACAAAAUCUGUCAAUAUACAAAAAAUAUACAAAAUAAAUUGUCACUAUACAAAAAAUAUACAAAUAGACUGUCACUAUACGAAAAAUAGACUGUCACCAUACAAAAAAUAUACAAAAUAGAUGUAACUAUAUAAAAUAGAUGUAACUAUACAAAAAUACAUGUUACACUCCAAAUACACAAUGUGCACACAUUACACAUACAAAAUUGUAUAUAAUUUAUAUACACGAUGUUUACAUAUUAGAAAAUACAUAUUAUAUACAAUUUUGAUACAUUAUUCAACAAAUUAUACAUUCACGAUACAAAAUACAUUUGGAAUACACAAAUAUAUACACAAGCACACCCGAGAUAGGCUGAAUAUACACCAAGGAUAUACUAUCGAACUUAGGAUACAAUAUUUAUAGAUUGCAAAAAAGGGUUGCUCUAUUGCGCCAGGCAAGGGCGGAACCUACGUCCUUUAGCUUAGGAAACUGGUGCUCUAUCCACUGAGCUACAAACGCUUAUGUUAUCAUACUCAUUCCUUUUGGCUACUAUAUACAAUACUUUUGGGGUGAAGGGCCAUUUUUUGUAAGUAGGACAAAACAUGUGCUAUUAAAAAUCUGAGGGGCUAUAGAGGUGGUUUUCUCAUUUUAAUUUGAAAAAGUUUCACAUAAGAAUAAUUUGGCUCCUUGUUUUUCAAAUUUAUAACCCAUAUUUCAAUUUAUAACCGACUAACUCAAAAUAAUAGGCUAAUACUCAACAUUCAACUCUAAUAUGUUCUCGAAAUUACUAUUUAAUUUUUAAAAAGGAUUGCUCAGGCUUUUAAGUUAGUUUUUGAAUCAGUAACUAUGACUCAAAUAUUACUUCAACAAACCAAAUUCAUUUGGGUGGUGAUAAAUUAGAUUUUUAACUAGCUUAAAUAUGUGAGUAUAAAUUCUGAAUAUGAUUUUGUGAGAAAUUUAGAGUGGGUGUUGUUUAGACUUGUUAGAAAUAAUACUAGGAGGUUGUAUAUAGAAUUUGAAGUCAUUUAAUAGAGAUUUAGAUUGGUUUUGAACGAGAAUUGCAAUUGAAAAUCGUGAAAGAAGUUCGUUUACAGACGCGUGUAUAAUGGUGUUUAAUAGUGUAUAAGAAAUGUUUAUACACGAACAUACACUAUUAUAUAAGAUUAUACAUAAUUAUACAAUAAUUGACUUCUUCUUCUUCCUUGCGUCUUUUCUUAAAUUUAACUCAAAUCUACUCCAAAUCACUUCAAAUUUAAAUUUUGAACUCUUUUAGAUAUUUUCAAUCAAUUGGAACAACACCCAAUCCAAAUAAUUAACGAACUCAAAGAAUCCUAUUUUCUAAAAUAAAGCUUUAAAUGACCUUCAAUGGCAGAGUUCUACUCUUCAAUUUUCUUAUAUUGCAACCACGUGACACAAGAGGAGAAGCAGUAAUGGCGGACGACCCCUUGAAGCAUGUGUAAAAUAUGUGAGAAGAAGAGAGAGUGAAAGUAAUAGUUGUGAGGAUACAGAUUUAACUACAUAGAUUUUAGAAGCAUUAGUUGUAAGAACACAUAUUUUAAAUUUAUUAGUACUUUCUAAAUAUAUACAAUAUAAGUUAAUCGGGUAAAACUUAAAAACAUGAACCAUUUUUUAUUAUAAUAUGAAGUCAUAUAUAUAUAUUUUUGUAUUCUUUCUUUUAACUUUAUCCUCCCAGAUCUCUAAUUGGUCAAUUCAGUGAGAGUGUAUGUUAUUUUGCUCUCUAAUCUGCUGGUUGUGGGAAGUUCAUUGCCAUAUCUUGAUGCAUACCUUGACCUCCAUAAUUCUCAAAUUAGCAAAGUAGGUAGCCUACAACUGUUGGUAAGGGGUGAUUAGAAAAGAAAAGGGAAAAAACAAUAAAACCAAAACAAAUGAAAUUUGUUUAAUAUUUGAUAUGAUUUGGUUUAUAUAUUUAAGCAAAUGAACUUAGUUUAUUUAGAUUUUUUGUAAGCAAAAGUUGAACCACUGAAACAAAACAUUCUAAUAUUGUUGUUGGUAAGUCCUUUAACGAGGAUAGGAGUAUAAUCACACCACGCAUAUUAAUUACGGACAACACUUGAUUUCAUAGGAUUAAUUCUAGACUAGUCAUUUCCGAAGGGAGUACUUGCUAUAAAAUAUAACUCUAACGGGUCGUUUGGUACGCGGAUAAAAUAAUAUCAUGAUUAUUUGUGAUUUUUAUUUACCUAUAUCAUAUAUGAAACCUUAUUAUUAAAAAUUUGCAUAAAUCCUAAAUUACUCGCACAAUCCACACUAUUUCUACAGUUUUUGUACCAAUCAUUAAAAGCUAAUUAAUAGCAGCUGUAUCUUCCUAUUUUAUCGAGCUAAAUUGUAGGAGCAUAAUAUUCUGAACAGAUUUGGCGUGAAUAAGAUCAUAUCAUAUCACCGAAAUCGCUCAUCUUCAAUUUAUAUAUAAAUUCUGUUCGUUUUCAAUCUGAAAUUCAGCCAAUCUACAAAUUAUCUACAAAUAAAAAACGACUAAAACUUUUACAAAUCUUCUGCAUAAAAUAAUCUACCAUUUAUCAAUAAUUUAUCUACAAUUAUUUAUAUUUUUUCUACAAUUUAUCUACAAUUCUGCAAUAUGUCUUCUUCUUCUUCUACGAGUUUAAAUCUAAAAUUUAGUUCUAAAUCUUCACCAAAACCCCUCAAAAUUGAUAUAUAAACUCCAAAGUAUAUUCCUAUUAUUUACAACAAUACCCAAUCAAAACAAAUAAUGAUUUUUGAAAAUUCAAAUUUGAAUUCAAAGCUUUCAAGCUUUUUAGCGGUUGUCAAUGGUGGAAAAACGCGGGUGGGGCUGAAGGGUUAGGAGAGAGAAACGUGGGAUGAGUGGAGAUAUUGGAAUUAAAAAAAAAUCCUUUAAUUAAGGAGUAAAAAAAUCUCAUUAAUUAUAUCCUUAAUUAAUUAUGGUAUAGAAUUGGUAAUUUGGUAUACUAAGUGUAAUUAAGUCAAACCUUAAACAUUGAGGAUAAAAAGGUUUCCUAUGUGGCAUAUGAAUGUAAAAAUUCCAUUAUAAUUCUGGAAUUGUUAUCCCGAUACUAAUUUAU